AUGGAGAAGGAACAUGCUCAGGAGAAGAAGGAGCACGCCCAGGAGAACAAGAAGGAGCAGGAUAAGGCCCUCAGGACCUGGGACCGCUAUUGCUGGACCUGGGACCUAGGAUUGCUGCUGGACCUGGGAACUGGGAUCGCUGUUGCUGUGUGCCUCCUUGGCACCCCUGGAUCUGGGAUCGCUUCUGGAGACAAGGACCUGGGAUCGCUGCUGGAGGCGAGGACCUGGGAGCGCCUAGGACCUGGGCGCAUGGAGGAGAAGCAGGGGCAGGCGGAGGAGAAGCAGGGGCGGGCGGGCGGGCCGACGAUGGCCUGGAGGAUGGAGGAAGAAGACGACGGGGAUACGGAUUCAAACUAG
rnacentral:rRNA from 1 species